rnacentral:rRNA from 1 species
AUUGAACGCUGGCGGCAGGCCUAACACAUGCAAGUCGAGCGGAUGAAGGGAGCUUGCUCCUGGAUUCAGCGGCGGACGGGUGAGUAAUGCCUAGGAAUCUGCCUGGUAGUGGGGGAUAACGUCCGGAAACGGGCGCUAAUACCGCAUACGUCCUGAGGGAGAAAGUGGGGGAUCUUCGGACCUCACGCUAUCAGAUGAGCCUAGGUCGGAUUAGCUAGUUGGUGGGGUAAAGGCCUACCAAGGCGACGAUCCGUAACUGGUCUGAGAGGAUGAUCAGUCACACUGGAACUGAGCCACGUUCCAGACUCCUACGGGAGGCAGCAGUGGGGAAUAUUGGACAAUGGGCGAAAGCCUGAUCCAGCCAUGCCGCGUGUGUGAAGAAGGUCUUCGGAUUGUAAAGCACUUUAAGUUGGGAGGAAGGGCAGUAAGUUAAUACCUUGCUGUUUUGACGUUACCAACAGAAUAAGCACCGGCUAACUUCGU